AACGUAGGAGACAAACGUUAUCCGGAGUUACUGGGCGUAAAGGGCGUGUAGGCGGUCUGUUAAGUCUGGCGUGAAAGCUCUCGGCUAAACCGGGAGAGGUCGUUGGAUACUGGCAGACUAGAGGACGGUAGAGGCGUGUGGAAUUCCGGGUGUAGUGGUGAAAUGCGUAGAGAUCCGGAGGAACACCAGUGGCGAAGGCGACACGCUGGGCCGUACCUGACGCUAAAGCGCGACAGCAUGGGGAGCGAACAGG
rnacentral:rRNA from 1 species